AUUGAACGCUGGCGGCAGGCCUAACACAUGCAAGUCGAGCGGAGCGGCGGACGGGUGAGUAUUGCCUAGGAAUCUGCCUGGUAGUGGGGGAUAACGUCCGGAAACGGGCGCUAAUUCCGCAUACUAGCAGAUGAGCCUAGGUCGGAUUAGCUAGUUGGUGGGGUAAAGGCCUACCAAGGCGGCGAUCCGCCACUGGUCUGCAGGGCAGCUCGGUCACACUGUGAUUGAGACACGGUCCAGACUCCUACGCGGAGCAGCAGUGGGGAAUAUUCGACGAGGGGCCAAAGCCUGAUCCAGCCGUGCCGCGUGUGCGCAGAAGCUCUUCGGAUUGUAGAGCGCUUUAAGUUGGGAGGCGUUACCAGCAGAAUAAGCACCGGCUAACUACGUGCCAGCCGCCGCGGUAAUAC
rnacentral:rRNA from 1 species